UACGAAGGGGGCUAGCGUUGCUCGGAAUCACUGGGCGUAAAGCGCACGUAGGCGGGUCCUUAAGUCGGGGGUGAAAUCCUGGAGCUCAACUCCAGAACUGCCCUCGAUACUGAGGAUCUCGAGUCCGGGAGAGGUGAGUGGAACUGCGAGUGUAGAGGUGAAAUUCGUAGAUAUUCGCAAGAACACCAGUGGCGAAGGCGGCUCACUGGCCCGGUACUGACGCUGAGGUGCGAAAGCGUGGGGAGCAAACAGG
rnacentral:rRNA from 1 species